GCCGGGGGGGCGCCCGGGCACGGCUGCGCUCGGCAGCACCGCUUCGCCUCGGGGCUCGGCCCCUCGCAGCCGCAUCCGGACAGUUGUUUGUGGAGCAGCAGAGAACGGAGUCCUUACGGCGGACCCCUCGAGGGAACCACCGGGGCCCGCUCCCCUCCGCUGGCCCCGGGAGCAGCGAGCAGAGCGGGCAGUGACCAUUCUCGCUGCCAGGCCAGGUGUGAAGAAGGGCACGAACGCAGCAGCCCGAGGCGAUGGGCAGAGCCCACCGGGACCAUCCGCUCCCGUGUGCAGGGGCAGUGACCCCAUGGCUCUGGCUGCUGCGGCAGAGACCCAGCCUAGCGUCAGCCCCAGCGCUGCGGCUUUGCAGCCAGCAAGACGCCAGGUCCAAAACGCCACCGGCAGCUUCUCCCGCAGCCGUGCUGGAACAGAAGUGCACAGACACAGGCUGAUUUGGCAGUCUUUAUAUCCACAAUACCUCAUAACCAUGCAGAGAGCCCAGGGCCCGGGGGUCUUUACAGCGUGAAUUGCACUUAACCAGGAACAAAUGCGCUGGAAGGGACCUCUGCCUGGGUUGCAUAAAGGCUCAGCGCUAUUUAUAGCCCACGCAGCCUGACAGGCAGCAGUGCCCUGCGCUGUCUGACCAGUUCCAGUGAGAGUUGCUGUUACUGCCCUGCAGCUCCUCACUGCCUGGAAACAUUCCACGCACCACCGGACUGCUGCAUCCUCCGAGAGGCUGCAAGUCAGGAGAGCCCAACCCUGGGACUGGGGAGGGCAGUUUGGCUUCACCUCUCAGGGCCUGAUUCUCCUUUUACAUAUCUGAACUUCAGGCCCUACCUUUAGUAUGGUUUUCUCUAUGUGCUUGUUCUUCAUGAAGGAAAAAGGCCUCACUGAGUGACGGAGUCACUUUGCUGGGACCUCCAGAACCUCUAAGCAAGCUCUUCCUUCGUGCUUGGAGGGAAACCAAUCACCAAGCACAGCCUUUCCACAACCUGUGGGGUCGCUACAAGUGAUCUACCAGAACGGCACCCACAGGGGGGACGAUCUCCAGGACGCAGCAGCUGCUUCUGACCUGCUACCAGCGCUGAGAAGCAGCCCCAGGAGGGGGAAGGGCUCCCAGUGCCUUGUCCUGCUGCCAGGUGGGGAUGGUCUCUGCAGCACACACGCAAAGCUUUGUGCCAGCAGGGAGCAGUCAGCUGCGGUGGGGUUUACACAUUCAUACAAGUUCAGCGAUUUAAAGCUUCCCUAUGAACCAUUCUUGUCCUGUGCAGGCUACAGGCAACCUCUCCGUGGAGACCUCAGACUCACCAACCCUGCCACUAUCUGAGGCACUGGGAAGAAGUCAGACUCAGGCCACCUACCCAGGGACUUUGUUUUACCCAUCCCCUCUUUGUGUGCUCAGCACCAAAUCCUUUCUGUGUGUGCAUUUUGGCUUUGCUCUCUCCAUAACAAGCAGGGUAGUGGCAGAAAACAACUCCUGCCUAAUUCUGCAGUGGAAGAUCUGUUGUGAGCAGCAGCAGCAGGAGCCUGCAGCCAAAGCAGUGGGCAGGGAGCACCCAGAGCUUUUUAGUGUUGCUGUUCUAUAGUUAAAGUCACUUCCAGCAGCUAAGGAAAGCAAGCAGAGCACAGCUUCCUCCUUCCACGGGCAGCUUUCCUGGCAUCAGUCUUACAUAAGCCAAAUUCUGCCCUCAAACCUCUUAGGGCAGACAGAAGAGAGCCUGGAACCUUUUCUACAUUCCUCUUACUGAGAGCCCCAGGAGCAGCAAAGCUGCAGGGUGAAGCAGUUCCAUUUAACUGGCAUUGCCACACCAGGAAGCAUGGUUCAGAGUCUGGCCUGCCAGGGAGCUGCUUGGACAUCAGACAGCUCUCGGACAGCUCAGGCUUCCUCUGGCCUCCUCCAAGUCUCCCCCUGUGCAGUUUCAGCAGGCACCAGCAGCAGAGCUGGGCUGCAGCUCUGGUUUCUCAGGAGCACUCAAUACUUCCAGCAGGACAGCAGCCUACUCGAGCCCAAAAGCAUUGUCCCCUGCAUGGUUUCAGGAGGUGGUUCCAUCAGGCAGAACUGUUCCAAUGCCCUCCUGCUGGCACUGAUGGGCCUGUUCUCAGUCUAGGCAAGAGCCCCCUCAAAGCCACAGGAGGGCUGUGCCUCCACCUGCCUGGAGAGCUGCACAGCAACUGGGGAAGGGUCCAGAC